UCGCUGUGUGUUAUACGUGUCACACGGGACUGCCGGUUUUAAGCCGGAGGAAGUGGGAUGACGUCAAGUCAGCAUGGCCUUUAUAUCCCUGGGCUACACACACGCUACAAUGGCCAACACAAUAGGUUGCUAAGCCGCGAGGUGGCGCCAAAUCCAUAAAGUUGGUCUCAGUUCAGAUUGUAGGCUGCAACCCGCCUGCAUGAAGAUGGAGUUGCUAGUAACCGCAGGUCAGCUAUACUGCGGUGAAUACGUUCCCGGGGCUU
rnacentral:rRNA from 1 species